rnacentral:lncRNA from 1 species
GCCGCCCCGCUCUCCAUUCCGCCCCCUCCGUCGCCGUUCCUCCAUCGUCGCCAUCGUCGGGUUCUCGACGCCAAGGACGGUCCUCCCCCUCUCUCAUACACCAAUAAACACCCAAAUCCAAAAUCAAAUCCUUCUCCCAAAUCCAAAAUCAAACCCUUUGAAGAUGGCGGCGGCGUUGUCUCGAUGGCACCGAUUCAACAGAAACCCUAGAUUAUGCGGGGAGGUCGAGGAAGAUGCUGAACACCUGCUCGUUUCUUGUUACUUUCAACUUUAGUGUGGCAAAAAGUUGUAGCCUGGUGGAACCCAACUAUACGUGUUCAGUUUUCGCGGCCUACUUCAAGUAUACAAAGGUUUGAGGGCAUCCGAUCUUAAAAGACGCUAAAGCUGCUAGAGUGAAGCACAUUGUGCUGGUUGGCUCGAUGGGUGGAACAAAUAUCAACCAUCCCUUAAGCAGCCUUGGAAAUGGGAAUAUACUGGUCUGGAAGCGAAAGGCUGAAUAGUUGAACCAUCCUUAAAGGUUGAACAACAUUAAUGAAUUUAUUUUUUUUUGUUUAUGUAAUGUUUUUUAAUAUUAAUGAAAAUAUUUUGUUACUUU